rnacentral:tRNA from 1 species
CAGAGAGUAGUUAAACUAGAAUCUUAGCUUUGGGAGUUAAGGGUGGAAGUUAAAAUCUUUCUUCUCUGA